rnacentral:rRNA from 1 species
UACAGAGGUCUCAAGCGUUGUUCGGAUUCAUUGGGCGUAAAGGGUGCGUAGGUGGGUUGGUAAGUCAGUGGUGAAAUCUCCGAGCUUAACUUGGAAACUGCCAUUGAUACUAUCAAUCUUGAAUACUGUGGAGGUCAGCGGAAUAUGUCAUGUAGCGGUGAAAUGCUUAGAUAUGACAUAGAACACCAAUUGCGAAGGCAGCUGGCUACACAAUUAUUGACACUGAGGCACGAAAGCGUGGGGAUCAAACAGG